UACGGGGGGGGUAAGCGUUGUCCGGAAUUAUUGGGCGUAAAGAGCUUGUAGGCGGUCUGUCGCGUCUGCUGUGAAAAUCCGGGGCUCAACCCCGGACUUGCAGUGGGUACGGGCAGACUAGAGUGUGGUAGGGGAGACUGGAAUUCCUGGUGUAGCGGUGAAAUGCGCAGAUAUCAGGAGGAACACCGAUGGCGAAGGCAGGUCUCUGGGCCACUACUGACGCUGAGAAGCGAAAGCAUGGGGAGCGAACAGG
rnacentral:rRNA from 1 species